AGAGUUUGAUCCUGGCUCAGGAUGAACGCUAGCGGCAGGCCUAACACAUGCAAGUCGAGGGGUAACAGGGAGCUUGCUCCGCUGACGACCGGCGCACGGGUGCGCACCGCGUAUGGAACCUACCUUGUACAGGGGAAUAGCCCAGGGAAACUUGGAUUAAUGCCCCGUAGUACUAUUAUUCGGCAUCGUUUAAUAGUUAAAGAUUUCGGUCGGUACAAGAUGGCCAUGCGUCCCAUUAGCUAGUUGGUAAGGUAACGGCUUACCAAGGCUACGAUGGGUAGGGGCCCUGAGAGGGGGAUCCCCCACACUGGUACUGAGACACGGACCAGACUCCUACGGGAGGCAGCAGUGAGGAAUAUUGGACAAUGGAGGAGACUCUGAUCCAGCCAUGCCGCGUGCAGGAAGAAUGCCCUAUGGGUGGUAAACUGCUUUUAUACGGGAAGAAAAAGAGCUACGUGUAGCUUACUGACGGUACCGUAAGAAUAAGGACCGGCUAACUCCGUGCCAGCAGCCGCGGUAAUACGGAGGGUCCGAGCGUUAUCCGGAAUUAUUGGGUUUAAAGGGUCCGUAGGCGGGCCGAUAAGUCAGGGGUGAAAGUUUGCAGCUCAACUGUAAAAUUGCCUUUGAUACUGUUGGUCUUGAGUUAUAGUGAAGUUGCCGGAAUAUGUAGUGUAGCGGUGAAAUGCAUAGAUAUUACAUAGAACACCGAUUGCGAAGGCAGGUGACUAACUAUAUACUGACGCUGAUGGACGAAAGCGUGGGGAGCGAACAGGAUUAGAUACCCUGGUAGUCACGCCGUAAACGAUGGAUACUAGCUGUCCGAGGCCUUGAGUCUUGGGCGGGCAAGCGAAAGUGAUAAGUAUCCCACCUGGGGAGUACGUUCGCAAGAAUGAAACUCAAAGGAAUUGACGGGGGCCCGCACAAGCGGUGGAGCAUGUGGUUUAAUUCGAUGAUACGCGAGGAACCUUACCAGGGCUUAAAUGCAUAUUGACAGGUCUAGAGAUAGACUUUCCUUCGGGCAAUUUGCAAGGUGCUGCAUGGUUGUCGUCAGCUCGUGCCGUGAGGUGUCAGGUUAAGUCCUAUAACGAGCGCAACCCCUACCGUUAGUUGCCAGCAUGUCAUGAUGGGGACUCUAACGGGACUGCCGGUGCAAACCGUGAGGAAGGUGGGGAUGACGUCAAAUCAUCACGGCCCUUACGUCCUGGGUCACACACGUGCUACAAUGGCAGGUACAGAGAGCAGCCAUGUCGCAAGGCAGAGCGAAUCUAUAAAACCUGUCACAGUUCGGAUCGGGGUCUGCAACUCGACCCCGUGAAGCUGGAAUCGCUAGUAAUCGGAUAUCAGCCGUGAUCCGGUGAAUACGUUCCCGGGCCUUGUACACACCGCCCGUCAAGCCAUGGAAGCCGGGAGUGCCUGAAGUCCGUCACCGUAAGGAGCGGCCUAGGGCAAGAUCGGUAACUAGGGCUAAGUCGUAACAAGGUAACC
rnacentral:rRNA from 1 species